rnacentral:tRNA from 1 species
GGAGUGGUGGCCGAGCGGCUCAAGGCGCACGCCUGCUAAGCGUGAGGGGGGAAACUCCCACGUGGGUUCGAAUCCCACCCACUCCGCCA